rnacentral:rRNA from 1 species
UACAGAGGUCCCAAGCGUUGUUCGGAUUCAUUGGGCGUAAAGGGUGCGUAGGCGGCGCGGUAAGUCGGGUGUGAAAUCUCGGGGCUUAACUCCGAAACUGCAUUCGAUACUGCCGUGCUUGAGGACUGGAGAGGAGACUGGAAUUUACGAUGUAGCGGUGAAAUGCGUAGAUAUCGUAAGGAAGACCAGUGGCGAAGGCGGGUCUCUGGACAGUUCCUGACGCUGAGGCACGAAGGCCAGGGGAGCAAACGGG